GGCGCGGUGAUUUAAGGCGAAUAAGUGCGGAUUCGGAUUCCAGGGCCUUCCUGCUAUAGUGACCACGAUGUCACUCCCCCAAAGGACAGGGCAACUGACCCCCCCAUGGAAGCGGGUGGCCCCAAGCCUCCACGCAGCAAGGCAUUUACAAGCCAGGAAGCAAGAACAGACUCCAACCUCCCGAGCGGGGGGCCAUCCCAUCACUGUGCCCGCUCCCAAGAAAACAAAACAAGAGAACAUUCUGGGUCUUUAUUAGCAGGCUCCUUUCUGCUGGGCAGCCCCAGCCCGGCAAGGCCAUGAGUCGGAGCCUCCGUGUAGGGCGGGUCUCCUCAAAACGCGUGCACCAGCUGGACAGCGGGCAGCGUCUGCACGAUCUGGAUGGAGGGCAGGGCCUGCGGGCUCACAAGCCCAGGCGCGGUCCCUGCGGGGACCACCUGCACCAUCUGGGGGGCAGUAGUCAUGGUGCCGGCUGCCGCAGGGGCAGAGACUGGGCCAGGGGGCGGAGGGGCCAGGAGCUGCAGCGUGGCGGUGCCUCCCCCCACGCUGCGGCUUUCCAGCAGCUCGGCGGCAGGGGCGCUGCGGAUGAUGAGCAGUUUCUGUCCAGGAGGAGCUGAGGCAGGUGGCUCAGUCAGCCCAGUAGGAAGGGUUUCUACCUCCUGCACACACAGCCGUGUCUGCUCCCCAUCCGCUCCGCUCAGCACCAGCACGCUCUGCAGCCCCUCGUCUGUCUGCAGCGUCUCAAAGACAACAUCCUGCACCACACCCGCGCUGGCCUCGCCAUCCCCGGCCUCUCCAGGACCUGGGGCCGCAAGCAGCUCCUCAGCUGCCUCGCUCUGGACCACCAGCAGGUUGGGGGCCUCGUGGUCACUGCUCCUCCACUGGAAUUGGACAGCUGGCCUGCCAAAGGCUGCAGCUGGACCGUGGUCACUUCCUGGGCCGGCUGGAGCUGGACCGUGGUCACUUCCUGGGCCGGCUGGAGCUGGACUGUGGUCACUUCCUGGGCCGGCUGGAGCUGGACCCCACUCACUUCCUGAGGCCCUGCAUCCCCACUCCCUACAUUCUGCAAGACAAUGAGGCUCUGCCCUCCCCCACUGCCCCCUGCACCACCACCCCCCCUGCACCCCCCAGGCCGCCAGGCCCCGGUAGCCAAACCACUCCUGCACCCUGGCCAGCUUUUCCCAGAGCCCGAGGCCCCUGCCUCGCUGGUCCACCCCCAGCACCGGAGGGGGGCAGCAGGAUAAGCUUAGGGGGGAGCAGGUGGGGGCGGCGGGUGGGGGGCUGGACACUGCUGGGGAUCAGCUGGAGGCCCUGGGCGGUCUGCACCAGGAGAAAUGUCUGGGAGUUGGGUGCUGCUGGGCCUGGGGCGGGGCCUGGGCCGUGCCCCCGCCACCUCGAGGGAAAGUGUGGCCUGGAGGUGGGGGAGCACGUGGACAUCCUGGGUGGCCAGCGGGGCUGGGGCUGCGGCCAGCGGGGCCGGGGCUGGGGGGCUGCAGCACCAGAGGCCGCCUGGGCCGGGGUGUAAGCGUCCUCAUGUGCCGCUGCAGGUAGGCAGCCAUGACGGCCGCGCCGCAGAUGGCACAGGUGAAGGGGCGCCGGCUGAGUGCGUGCGCUGGUGCAGCAGCAGGUUGGAUGAGUGCGUGAAGGUCUUGGGGCAGAGCGCACAGCGGAAGGGGCGCUCGCCCGCGUGCACGCGCUGGUGCUGCCGCAGGUUGGUGCUCUGCGUGAAGCUCUUGCCGCACACGCCGCACGUGUAGGGCCGCUCGCCCGUGUGGACAUGCCGGUGGCGCCGCAGGCUGGACGAGUUCUUGAAGGCCUUGGGGCAGUCCGGGCACGGGUAGGGCCGUCGCCCGUGCUGCCGCAGGUGGUACUGGUAGUGCGAUGACCACUUGAAGGCCAGGCCACACUGGCCGCAGGUGAAGGCGCGCAGGCCGGUGUGCACACUGCGGUGGAUCUGCAGCAGCGAUGAGCGCUGAAGGCCUUGGGGCAGUCGGGGCACUGGUAGGGCCGCUCGCCCGUGUGGCCUCGCUGAUGGUAGAGCAGUGCAGAGGAGCCCUUGAAGGCCUUGGGGCAGUCGGGGGCACUUGUAGGGCCGCUCGCCAGUGUGCGUGCGCUGGUGAUGCAGGAGCCUGGACGACCACCGGAAAGACUUGCCGCACUCCCGCACUCAUACUGGGCCGUGGUCGCGGGGCCGCCGGCGCCAGCUUCUCCCUGGCCCCUCGGUGGUGGAGGCAGGCACCAUGUCUGCUUGGGAGCCGACCAUCACACCUGGGGGCGGGGGUUCCAGGUCAGGCCACAGAGCCUGGGCCCUGGAGGGAGAGGGCCACCCCCUGGGUCCCCUUUGCUCAGGGAACCUGCUCAGGAGCGGGGCUUCCCAACCCCAGGUGUCCCCUGGGCCUGCAGGGCAGAGGGGUGUGGCCUGGGGUCACUUCCGGGUUUGAACAAAACUUGCCGCACACAGUCCAGCCGCCCCUCCAGAGGCCCCAGCGGUUCUGAGGAGGCUCGGCCUGGCCUUUCAGGCUGAGCUGCCUCCCUCUAAAUGCACCCACCGCAGCUUCCUGUCCUCAGCACCUCCUCCCCUGCUGGGCGUGGCUGUGCACACUUAUGAUCCCGGCAAUCAGGAGACUGAAGCAGGAGGAUCUUGAGUUCAAGGCCAGCCUGGACUAUUAGGGAGUUCAAGGGCAGCCUGGACUACACAGUGACACCCUGUCUCAAAAAACCAGAACACGUUUUGAAUAAAUAUUUUUUAAAAGACCUUAUUCCCAACUCCACCUCAACACUUGCUCACCACCACACCCUGAAGCAGUGGUCGUGGACCCAUGGCACCCUGGCCACCGAGCACGCCAGUCACUGAGUAAAAGCUGUCAGAAGAGUGUUCUAACAUUCCGGCCACGCCAGGGGCUCUCAACUGGCACAACUGCCCCCCACCCCAGGACAGCUGGUGACAGCUGGAAGCACUGCUUCUCUGCCAGCUAGAGAAGCAGGGCCACUGGUACCAGUGGGCAGAGGCCGGGAUUCUUCCCACCAUCGGUUCGGUGCAUAGGACAGUCCCUCGGGAGGACCUGGUCCAAACGGCUGAGAAACCUCACCACCUGCCCGGCCUGCCCGGGCCCAGGCCUCUGGCCUCCCCGCACAUCCUGAACCUCCCAGGAGCUCUCCCGACAGGUUCCUCCACACACACCCUCCCGCUAGGCCCCCAUCUUCUCCAAGAAGGUGCUGGGUGUGGCCCAUGCCAGUGAUCCUAGCUACACUGGAGGCUGAGGCAGGAGGGAAAGUGUGAGCCCAGCUGGGGCAACUUGAUAAGACCUUGUCUGAGAAUAAAAAGUGCUGAGGAUGUAGCUCGGUAAUACAAAGCUUCCCACAAUGCACCAGUCCCUGAGUGCAGUCCCCAGCACCAAAAACCAAUCAACCAACCAAACAAACCAACCUACACUCCAGUCCCCAGGCAGCCACGGCUUUCCUUCUCUCUGCCUCUCUGGAGCAGAGCGGCUCUCAAGUGUCAACCUGCUCUUCCCACCCCAAACCACUCUGCCACUCUGCUGCCACUGCCCAGCAUCCAUAAGGGCGCCCACUUCAAACAUAAUGUGGCCAAACUCUAGGAGCAGUUUUCUGAUCCUGUGCCUUCCUAUCAAAAAUUUAAAAACCUACUCAACCAGUCUUCUAUGAAAACAGGGGGGCCAUUCUUCCUCUGGCCAAGGGCCCUGCCUGCCUCGCCGCCUCCGCUCUCUGUAUAAUCAACCGUCAGGAGAUCCCGGGCUCCACAGGACUGCAGCCAGAAGCUGGGGCCUCGGUCAUGCCUCCCCUGGGCAGCGGUGGUGUCUUCCUAACAGGUCGCCACGUCUCCACCCUGUCUGUUCCCUAAGGGACCCGUCAGGAGAGGACAGGGCAUCACAUUCCUCACUCCCAGGCCUCCUGAAGACCCCUCAAGGCUCAGCCUCUGCUUCCCAGAGCCCAAUCAUCCCUUCCUGCCUCCAAGCCCAGCAAGACAGGCUGUGCCACUCCCUCCACGUCCACGACCCCCCCCCAGUCUUCCCUGAGAGCUGCAUGGCCUUCGACUGCCUGCAGGGCCUCGAGCCCUUCCAACACUGCCUCCUCUCCCCGACUUCACUUGCUCUCCAUCGCGCUCAUCACCAUCCAAGUGCUACACAGCGAGGCAUCUUGGCCUUGGGAGCGGACUCCUCUGUCCAAGGGUCCCCUGCUUUCCUGGUGUUGAGCGGCGACCCUGAACUCGACCCACACCCUCGCAGGUGUGGCAGCAGCCACAAUGACCCUCGCCUAGGAAGCCUCCUACUCGCUCCUGCAGUGUCAUCCCGGAGAACAGCACCGCCCCCAGGUGACAACCGCUACCACACAAUGAUUGCCUCUGCCUCCCCGGGCUAGAAGGCCAGCCCCACGCAAAGGCCUUGGUUUUGUUCCCUGUAGUGUCUCGGCCCCUACAUAACGUCGGGCGUGGCGUGUGCGCUGGAAACGCUUCUGGAGGAAGGCAAGCUGCAGGUCUCGUCUGGACAGGGGUCUUUCCUUUAAAAGAUGGGCGUCCCUUUCGGGUGCGAGCAGCUCCUUGAAAGACAUUGAUUAUCCCAAGGGGCUGGUCUGCCUCUGAGAAGGGGUCAUCGCCGUAUACUCGGGACGCCCGCGCUCCGGAGUGGCGAGCCCAUCCCCGCCUUGGAGCGGGCCGGCUGCCCCUCUAGGGGAUGCGUCGGCCUCACACCAUCUCCACCUCUGCAGCACAAAGAUCCUGCAGUUUUCCCUUGGAUGUCUGGGAAACUGGCACUGGCCUUCAAUGGAAUAACCCUCUUUUGGGGGGCAAGGCGCAAAGCUUUGUAAAAUGGGAAGCCUGCCACGCCCUCGAAACGCAGUCCCUUGCCCUUUAAGAGGGUGGGGCCGAUGCAGGCACAGAAAUCGGAGGCGAAUCAGCGGCCUCCCCUUUAAGGCGCCCCUUCCGGUUUCUCGCUUGCCGUUUCCCAAACUACUCCGCCCUCCGGCCCCUCCCCCCUCGCGCCCUCCGGUUUCUCACCUGCGGCCCCGGUUGGGGGACCCGGGGGAGUCUCCGGGUAUCGCCGCGGGGACCGAUGGGAAGGCGGGCCGGCACGGCACCGCAGCAGCGGAGGCCGGGGAGGGGCGGGGGCGCGCACCCUCCCGGCGGCCCCGGCGCGAGGCACCCAACCUUUAUCGGCGGCCGCUCGCGCACACAACCCCGACGCCGACGCCGCGUCAUGACGCACGCACGCACGUGUGCCGCGCAGCCGGGCCCCGCCCCCGGCCCGCGGCCUGGAGGGUCGGGGGGCGUCUUGGGUUCCGCGUGGGCACUGCGGACGGCCCCAAUCUCCUCGCCGACCGAGCACCCCCCUUCCCGCAGCGCUUCCGAGCGAGCCCCGCCUAGCCGAGGUGACGGGUCUCGCUAUGCAGUUCAGGCUGGCCUCCAACUCCCGGCGACCCUCCUGCCUUAGCCUCCCGAGCGCUGGGAUUAUAAGUCACUCAAAUUGCAAUCUUCAGCAAUUUGGGGUUUUUUCUUUUUUUUGGUACCAGGGCUUGAACUCGGGUCCUUUCGCUUGCGCAGCAGGCGACGAAAAACCAUUGAGCUAAAUCCCCGGCCCCUGAAAAUUGCAAUCUUAACAUUGUACUUUUAAGACAACUGCAGCUUCAACGCACAGUUACCCAGGACCCCAGUGCUUUUUUUCCCUUCCAGGCAACUCCAAAAUUCCUAAGAGUCUCAAAAGAUACAGCGAGCCUAAGUGGGCCCUGCCUUUCUCCUGUAAAUUGGGCCUGAGCCGGUGCUUAUCUUCCAGCACUGUAGAUUGACCAGUUCCAUCCGCAGGAAACGGUAGUUGCAAUCGAUUGAGUACCGUGUCUCUCAACUCCGAACUCCGGUGAAUGUCUCGCAUUCUAACCUAGCGGGCUACAGUCACCCGCGCAGACAGACCGAGUACUCACCCUAGGUGCUCCGCGUCGGGUCACCCCCGAACCAUACCUAUCCGAG
rnacentral:lncRNA from 1 species